GAUGAACGCUGGCGGCGUGCCUAAUACAUGCAAGUCGAGCGAACAGACGAGGAGCUUGCUCCUCUGACGUUAGCGGCGGACGGGUGAGUAACACGUGGAUAACCUACCUAUAAGACUGGGAUAACUUCGGGAAACCGGAGCUAAUACCGGAUAAUAUAUUGAACCGCAUGGUUCAAUAGUGAAAGACGGUUUUGCUGUCACUUAUAGAUGGAUCCGCGCCGCAUUAGCUAGUUGGUAAGGUAACGGCUUACCAAGGCAACGAUUCGUAGCCGACCUGAGAGGGUGAUCGGCCACACUGGAACUGAGACACGGUCCAGACUCCUACGGGAGGCAGCAGUAGGAAAUCUUCCGCAAUGGGCGAAAGCCUGACGGAGCAACGCCGCGUGAGUGAUGAAGGUCUUCGGAUCGUAAAACUCUGUUAUUAGGGAAGAACAAAUGUGUAAGUAACUAUGCACGUCUUGACGGUACCUAAUCAGAAAGCCACGGCUAACUACGU
rnacentral:rRNA from 1 species